UACAGAGGGGGCAAGCGUUAUUCGGAAUUAUUGGGCGUAAAGGGCGCGUAGGCGGCCUGGCAAGUGGAUGGUGAAAUCCCUCGGCUUAACCGAGGAACUGCCAUCCAGACUGCUUGGCUUGAGACCGGGAGAGGUGAGUGGAAUUCCCAGUGUAGCGGUGAAAUGCGUAGAUAUUGGGAGGAACACCAGUGGCGAAGGCGGGCUCACUGGACCGGUACUGGACGCUGAG
rnacentral:rRNA from 1 species